GGCAUAGUAACCAAUUAAAUGAGUUUUUCCAGUGCCAAAUCUGUGACAAUUUAAGCAAUACCAUAAAUAUUAGUACUGUUGGGCUAUAACUCAAAGUAUUAAAUAAAUGUUAAUGAAUGCAUAUAUACAUAAAUAAAUGAUCAAUAAAAUUAAUAAAUGGGGUAGAGAAGGCAAAUCUCUCAUGCAGAAGAAUUCCAAAUAAAUUAUGGAAUUUUAUUCACACUGAAGAAGGCCAGCACAACUCUGCACUUGCUAAGUGUGGGAUAUACCUAGUGAUCUUCUCCUAAAGAGUAUAGUAGGGAAAGGAGAAAGAAACAAGAGUAACUUUAAACUGGAAAAAUCUGAGAAACACUAUUUAACUCAGAUAUUCAAGACUAACAUUAACAAUCAUGUUAAUGUUGAAUCCUGUUGAAAAUAUGUAUCCUUGAAAUUAUGUAAUAAAAAUGACAUUUUAAUGCUGUCAUUUCCUCCCCUAAACCUAUAAUUCCAGUUUAUUCAUUAAAAAAAUCAGGCAAAUUCCAACCUGACCAAUAUUCCUUAAAACUGUCAAAUACACCAUAAACAAGGGAGAGUCUGGGAAAUGGACUCAGCCAAGAGAAACGUAAAAUCACAUAACAACUAAAUAUAAUGUGCUAAUCUAGGUGGGAUUGUGGAACAUCAAAAGGACAAAACUAAGGUAACAUGAAUAGACUAUAUAAACUUUAGUUAAUAAUAAUAUAUCAAUAUUGCUUCAUCACAUGACAAAUGCUCCAUAUUAAUAUAAUAUGUUAGUAAUAGAGGAAACUGAUUACAGGGGUAUAUAUAAGAACUAUCUGUACUAUCUUCUUAAUUUUUCUGUUUAAUAAUAAAAAAUAAUAUGAGAUUUCCUGUCUGUUUUUAAGUCAAAUCCAGCCAACAUGAAUCAACAUAGUAUACAAUAGUGAAUUAUACUUGUAUAGCAGUGAGUAUAAUAGUGAAUAGUGAAUAAUACAUGUUAAAUGUUAUAAAGACAUUUAUUGCUUAUUAUCAACAUGGUUAAUUCUUAAGGCAUCAAUAUAUACUUUCUGCAUCUAAUCUCAUUUUCCCCUCAAGCCUACAGUAUUACCGGACUAAAACUUUAAUCAGUGCCUCAGGAUGAACUACUAUGAUUUUAUAUUAUGCUCAUGGAGGUUAGUAUCUUGGAUCAAAUCACUAAGAAACAAAUACUUUCUAAUGCUCACAUAUGAUACAAUUUCUUAUGAAAAUACAUGUCUUGCCUUUAGCAAAUGUUUGCUUUUGGUAUGAUAUAAAAGUUACUUUAUUAUAAUUAACUUCCAAAAGUCAAAGUAAUUCCUAUUUAGGUU
rnacentral:lncRNA from 10 species